rnacentral:lncRNA from 10 species
CGCAGCCCCUGCACCUCGCUGCUCCUCGGCCCUCGCGGCCCAAACCUGGCCCUGCCGGGUCCCAGCCCCCAGUGGCUUUCGGGACAGGGGCGGAGCCGGGCACCGGUUCUGUUCCCCUAACCCUUGGCCUCUGGCCUGCUGGUAUAGAAGAGGCCGAGAGGCGGCGCCCGGGAGGGGCCAGCCCUGCGCCCGCGCCCCCCGCCCCCACGCCGCAGGAAGUGGCCCGGGCGGCCUAGGAAGGGGAAGAGCCGAGUUGCCCCAGCCCCGCACCCCCAGCCCCAGCCCCGCGUGCAGCUCGCACCCCUUCCCACGCCUGUUCGGGGGAGAGCCCCGGGCCUGGAGUGGGAAGCCUGGCUCCAGCUCUGGUUACCUGCAGUGACUCCCCAGGCCGUUUAGGCGAGUCCAUUGGGCCGCCUCUGCCUCGGUUUCCCCACCUAACCACGGAAGGUGCUCCUCCCUUCCAGGCAUCUGUGGUCUUCGAGCUCCACGCGGGAGAGGCGCCGGUCUGGCACCUCCUGCCCAGGGUCGGCGCCUCCUGGCUCUCGGGGAGGGGGGCAUCCUCCAUCCCCUGCACCUGCCUCGAGAGGAACCAGGGACAGAGCACCCCCACCCCCACCAGGAGCUCCGGAAAAACGGCUUCAGAAGAGCAAAUAUACACACACACCCACCUCCCGCCCCAAACAUCCCCGAAGAAAGGUAACCACAGAAACAGCCAGAAAUGUGGAGCUGGGCGAUCGUAUGAGGCUGAGACAAAACUGUCUUUCUAGCGUCUCUAGGGGAGAGCUUGAAUCCCUCCUUCCACUCCUCCUCCACGGAAAACAGAGUGAACUCCUGCUACAGAGGCCGCCAGAGCAACAUGCAAGACCAGCUUUGAGGGGAGCGGGCACAGGGCCUUGCAGGGAAGGUGGGCCGAGCCCAGACCCCUCAUUCUUACUUGGCUCUGAAGGCGGAAAGGCAAAGCUAGACCUCGAGGAAGUUCCCCUCCCUGUGGGCCCUACAGUGAAGAUUACAUGAAGGCAUGUGGGCGGUGGACCAGAGUGCACCGACUGAUGAAGGCGGCCCGGUACCCGCGGGUGCCAUGCCUCCUUCUUAGCCAAGGCCACUCUAGCUCCCCGUGAAGUAUCCAGGUAGAAGGCUGGUGGGGUUACAGGAGUGUAUCUCUCUCAGAUGAGAUACAAGUUGGUCCCUUCCCUUGCGUCCCUCCUGUUCCUUCAAGAGGAGGACUGUCUACCCACCCCGAAGCUUCAUGGAGAGAGAGCACACCGUCGUUAUUCAAUAUGUAGUUUUGAAUUUAACUAGAGCAAAGAAGAAAGCAAAUUCAGGUGGAAGGAAGAAGAAAAGGGAAAAGGGCUGUCCCCAUCCUUCUAAGGAGAUGGUGCAGUGGCUCACCUUUGGGAGGCCGAGGCAGGCAGAUCACUUGAGCUCAGCAGUUUGAGACCAGCCUGGGUAACAUAGUGAAACCCCAUCUCUACAGAAAUUAAAAAAUUAGCCAGACAUGGCGGCGCACACCUGUGGUCCCAGCUACUCAGGAGGCUGCGGCAGAAGUAUGCCUUGAGCCAAAGAGGCAGAGAUUGCAGUGAGCCAAGAUCAUGCUACUGCACUCCAGCCUGGGCAACGAAGCAAGACUGUCUCAGGAAAAAAAAAAAAAAUGAUCAUUUUUCUCUGUCCACUUGGUGGGUCAACUGAAUGGUAUUCCUGUGUCUUCUACUCUCCUCCCACUUGGAAACCCACUGAGAUGCUCUUCCGAAGGCCAGUGCAUGCUGGGCCACACGAGACAGAGCUCAGGCUGGAGGAGCCUCAUACCCGCCCCUCUAGAUGCUUAUAAAAAUACUUCCCACCUUUGAAUCAAGUGGAAAAUGAGGCUCUCCAGUCAAAAGCCGCGACUGUAUAGAAAGCCCUGAGUUGCCCAAUCUGUUCACAUGGCAUCACCAACCUCUGUGUCAUCAUCAAGCUGUCCAGGGGACUCGAUGGCCACCUGGCCAGGAACUGCGGGCUGAUUGGAAGCUGUUGUUCCCAUUGUAUAAUCACACACAUCAUAAAAUAAUCAGUCUUGUCUCUAUUUACAAUUUUGAUGUUUUGUUCAUCACAAAUUUUUAUAUUAAUUUUUAGUUUAACAAACAUUGCACUAAAAUAAUGUUUCUCUUGAUGACCGAGUUUGGGUGCCCUUUCUAUUCUGUGUACAAGAUGAGAGCCUCACUGGCCUCCCCCAAUCCUGGCACUGCCGGAGGCUUUCCUGCGCCCCCUGUGUACUUGUAAGUGC